GACGAACGCUGGCGGCGUGCUUAACACAUGCAAGUCGAACGGAAAGGCCCUGCUUUUGUGGGGUGCUCGAGUGGCGAACGGGUGAGUAACACGUGAGUAACCUGCCCUUGACUUUGGGAUAACUUCAGGAAGCUGGGGCUAAUACCGGAUAGGAGCUCCUGCUGCAUGGUGGGGGUUGGAAAGUUUCGGCGGUUGGGGAUGGACUCGCGGCUUAUCAGCUUGUUGGUGGGGUAGUGGCUUACCAAGGCUUUGACGGGUAGCCGGCCUGAGAGGGUGACCGGCCACAUUGGGACUGAGAUACGGCCCAGACUCCUACGGGAGGCAGCAGUGGGGAAUAGUGCACAAUGAGCGGAAGCCUGAUGCAGCAACGCCGCGUGCGGGAUGACGGCCUUCGGGUUGUAAACCGCUUUCGCCUGUGACGAAGCGUGAGUGACGGUAAUGGGUAAAGAAGCACCGGCUAACUACGUG
rnacentral:rRNA from 1 species